rnacentral:rRNA from 1 species
UACGAAGGGGGCUAGCGUUGUUCGGAGUUACUGGGCGUAAAGGGCGCGUAGGCGGCGCACCAAGUCAGGCGUGAAAGCCCUGGGCUCAACCCGGGAAUUGCGCUUGAGACUGGUGUGCUUGAGUACGGGAGAGGAUAGUGGAAUUCCCAGUGUAGAGGUGAAAUUCGUAGAUAUUCGGAAGAACACCAGUGGCGAAGGCGACUUACUGGACACAUAUUGACGCUGAGGUGCGAAAGCGUGGGGAGCAAACAGG